AUUGAACGCUGGCGGCAGGCCUAACACAUGCAAGUCGAGCGAGCGGCGGACGGGUGAGUAAUGUCUGGGAAACUGCCUGAUGGAGGGGGAUAACUAAUGGAAACGGUAGCUAAUAACGCAUACCAUCAGAUGUGCCAAGAUGGGAGUAGCUAGUAGGUGGGGUAACGGCUCACCUAGGCGACGAUCCCUAGCUGGUAUGAGAGGAUGACCAGCCACACGGGAACUGAGAAACGGUCCAGACUCCUACGGGAGGCAGAAGUGGGGAAUAUUGCACAAUGGGCUCAGGCCUGCUACAGCCAUGCCGCGUGUGUGAAGAAGGCCUUCGGGUUGUAAAGCACUUUCAGCGGGGAGGCGUUACCCGCAGAAGAAGCACCGGCUAACUCCGUGCCAGCAGCCGCGGUAAUAC
rnacentral:rRNA from 1 species